AGACAGCAGCAGCCACGGUAAUACGUAGGGUGCAAGCGUUAAUCGGAAUUACUGGGCGUAAAGCGUGCGCAGGCGGUUCUAUAAGACAGAUGUGAAAUCCCGGGGCUCAACCUGGGAACUGCAUUUGUGACUGUAGAGCCGGAGUACGGCAGAGGGGGAUGGAAUUCCGCGUGUAGCAGUGAAAUGCGUAGAUAUGCGGAGGAACACCGAUGGCGAAGGCAAUCCCCUGGGCCCGUACUGACGCUCAUGCACGAAAGCGUGGGGAGCAAACAGGAUUAGAUACCCCUGUAGUCCCUGUCUCUUAUAC
rnacentral:rRNA from 1 species